ensembl:rRNA 5S_rRNA 5S ribosomal RNA
AUUUUCAAUAAUAAAAAAAAUAAGUCUGCGCCCGAUCUCGUCUGAUCUCGGAAGCUAAGCAGGGUCGGGCUUGGUUAGUACUUGGAUGGGAGACCGCCUGGGAAUACCAGGUGCUGUAAGCU